AUGUAUAAUACGUAACCUUCGAGGUCUCUAAAUGUAUUCAUUAAGCCCUUCAAGACCUUAAUUAAAGUAAUUCAAGGGCUUCAAAUAUAUUUUCACAUUGAGCUUCAAGUACUUACUAAUUCAAGUAAUUCAAAAAGGCUAAGAUAUAAAUUAAUUACAUAUAUGAAAUUAAAGAAGUUGGCAAAAAAAAUCAAAAGUAAAAAAACUGAUUGUAUAUUUUCAAAAUUCGCUAGGUUAGCAGGGUACAGCCGCUCGGCUACACUAUUUUUUAAAAAAAAUUAAGAAAAUCUAGUAUAGCCGGGCGGCUAUACUAUUUAUGUACAUAAUAGGGAUCCAGCCAGCACCUAGGCGCCACGUGUCAAACCAUGCGGCCGUACUGUUCCGAACAUUUAAAAAAAAAAAAAAGGGGUUAAAAGCGAGUAUAGCCGCGCGGCUAUACUAUAUUUCAAAAAAAUUUAAAAAUCUAUUAUAGCCGGGCGGCUGUACUAUUUAUAUACAUAAUAGGGAUCCAGCCAGCACCUAGGCGCCACGUGUCAAACCAUGCGGCUGUACAGUUCUGAACUUUUUUUUUAAAAAAAAAGGGUUAAAAGCGAGUAUAGCCGCGCGGCUAUACUAUUUUUAAACAGAAUUUAAAAAUCUAGUAUAGCCGGGCGGCUAUACUACUUAUAUACAUAAUAGGGAUCCAGCCAGCACCUAGGCGCCACGUGUCAAACCAUGCGGCUGUACAGUUCUGAACAUUUUUUUAAAAAAGGGUUAAAAGCGAGUAUAGCCGCGCGGCUAUACUAUUUUAAAAAGAAUUUAAAAAAUCUGGCCAGCACCUAGGCGCCACGUGUCAAACCAUGAGGCUGUGCUGUAUUCAGAAUUUUAAAAAAAAGGGUUAAAAGCGAGUAUAGCCGUGCGGCUAUACUAUUUUUAUAUUUUCAAAAGGGUCAAUAAUGUUUUUUAAAAAAGGUUAUUUUUAGUAAUUAAACAAUAUCUUAGCCUGAUUUAAUUACUUGAAUUAUGAAUUAUGUUCUAACUACUAUUUAUCUAGUGAAUAAUUGGUAUUAGAUAUUUUAAUUAACUUCAUAAAUGAUAUUACUUAAUAUAUAUAUCUUGCAUUUUUGUUAGAACAAGUGAGCUCUCACAUUCAUUCAUAAUUAGUAAAAUACGGAAGGAAAAAAAAUGCGAAUUAAAUACGUAUGUUUUUUAUUCGGCAAUAUCUUGGCACAUUACAACUUAAAAGUUCGGCCACUAUACUGUAUUUUUUAAAUAUAUAUUAUUUUUAUUCAAUAAUAUGUGAGUGUAUACGUGUGUUAAACAUGAAAAACACGUACGUGCAUGUAUAAUACGUAACCUUCGAAGUCUCUAAAUGUAUUCAUUAAGCCCUUCAAGACCUUAAUUAAAGUAAUUCAAGGGCUUCAAAUAUAUUUUCACAUUGAGCUUCAAGUACUUACUAAUUCAAGUAAUUCAAAAAGGCUAAGAUAUAAAUUAAUUACAUAUAUGAAAUUAAAGAAGUUGGCAAAAAAAAUCAAAAGUAAAAAAACUGAUUGUAUAUUUUCAAAAUUCGCUAGGUUAGCAGGGUACAGCCGCUCGGCUACACUAUUUUAAAAAAAAAAUUAAGAAAAUCUAGUAUAGCCGGGCGGCUAUACUAUUUAUAUACGUAAUAGGGAUCCAGCCAGCACCUAGGCCCCACGUGUCAAACCAUGCGGCCGUACUG
rnacentral:lncRNA from 1 species